rnacentral:tRNA from 1 species
AGCUGAAUGGUAGAGUGCAUGCUUAGCAUGCAUGAGGACCUGGGUUCAAUCCCCAG